rnacentral:rRNA from 1 species
UGCCGGUUGACAAAACCGGAGGAAGGUGGGGAUGACGUCAAGUCCUCAUGGCCCUUAUGGGUAGGGCUUCACACGUCAUACAAUGGUACAUACAGAGGGCUGCCAACCCGCGAGGGGGAGCUAAUCCCAGAAAGUGUAUCGUAGUCCGGAUUGAAGUCUGCAACUCGACUUCAUGAAGUUGGAAUCGCUAGUAAUCGCGGAUCAGCAUGUCGCGGUGAAUACGUUCCCGGGUCUU